GACGAACGCUGGCGGCGUGCUUAACACAUGCAAGUCACGGGGGCCCGCAAGGGCAACCGGCGAACGGGUGCGUAACACGUGAGCAAUCUGCCGAUCUCUGGGGGAUAGCCGGCCCAACGGCCGGGUAAUACCGCAUACGUUCGUCGGGGGACAUCCCCGGGGGAGGAAACCUCCGGGGGAGAUCGGGGAGCUCGCGACCUAUCAGCUAGUUGGUGCGGUAACGGCGCACCAAGGCGACGACGGGUAGCGGGUCUGCGAGGAUGGCCAGCCACAUUGGGACUGCGACACGGCCCAGACUCCUACGGGAGGCAGCAGUGGGGAAUAUUGCGCAAUGGACGAAAGUCUGACGCAGCGACGCCGCGUGUGGGAUGAAGCUCUUCGGGGUGUAAACCACUGUUGCCCGGGAAGAACCUCCCCUUUCGAGGGGACUGACGGUACCGGGUGAGGAAGCACCGGCUAACUCUGUGCCAGCAGCCGCCGUAA
rnacentral:rRNA from 1 species